GCACAAAUCAAGCUCUUGCGCACACAGGUGUGCUUGACUUGUUGCAUGGGACUUGCUAUGAGGACAAGUUGAAGGAAACGGAAGAGAAAGGUUAUUAUAAGAAAUACUGGAUUCUUUCUGCAUCGAAGUCCUGCAACUCUAUUUUACCAGUAUGUGGCGACAAGUGAAUCAUUCACUCCACCGAUUGUAAUCACAGGGAGUCACAGAACAAUGGAACAAAGUAAAGCUGAAGCCAGACAGAACUAAUCAUUGAGACUAUGGGGGGAAAUAAUUGAGAUUAUUUCAAAGAAAACCUCCACACCUUCCAGAAUAUGGAGUCAAACUCGGCUCCAUGGAAUCUGUCAGGCAUACCAGCUGAAGACAGUUUUGGUCCGAGAAGUGCUACGAACUCUUCAAAGUCAACCUGACCGUCUCCUGCGAAAUGAAAGGUACACAAACACAGGCCAGCUUCACUGCAACCUUUUCUUGAAGGAGAUUGUGAUCUUACGCUGAUCCAGCAGAACAGCCAGACUCUAAUCUUUUGAAUCGUUAUCAGACACAUCAGUCCUUUGUUUAGUGAUUCACAAUAACCAUUACAAUAUUGAACUGUUUUGCUGUUGCAGGUGUUUUGUAUCGAAUUUGCAAUUCCACCAUGCCUAUCUGUCAAAUGUCCCCUUAGCAAGGCUUAAAUGUAAUCAAAUCAAGACAAAUUAUUAGUGAUGCAUAGAAUGUAAUGCAAUUUAACAACAGCUAAAAUACGCAGAGCAUGCGUGUCCGAAGAUAUAAAUGUUUCGGUAGUUUUUGCAAGGGCUGAUAUACCGUCCAUGUCCAGCCUCUGAAUGAUCACCUCCAGCUCCACUUCAUUUGGCAUGUAACCAAGAGACCGCAUGGCCACUCCUAGCUCCUGUUUUGAGAUGAACCCGUUCCCGUCACGGUCAAACACCUUAAAGGCUUCACGGAUCUCUGCAGAUGUGCCAGACACAUUGCCAUGUUACAACAUGCAAUGACAUGAGACUUUUUUUUUUCUUUAAAUGUUGAACAUUGUCUGUUUCAGUGUGCUUGAUUGGAGAGUUGAACCGCUUUUCCCAAUUAAUCAGUGAUUACUUAUCCAGUGAGUAAAAUCAGGAUAAGUGCUAUGACUGAUUGUCCUUUAAAUGUCAGGAGACAAUCAAAUACAACUUUAUUAAUAACUGUCAUUAAAAGUAAUAAAUGUCACAAUGAAGCAUGAUGUUAUUCUAAAAAUAUUUAGAUUUUCCAAGCCAUAUUUUCAUUUGCCGUGACAUUAUUUUAUAUAUAAUGCAGAAUUGCAUGUGAUCAAUUGUGAAAGUUUGUUAACUUUAACAUAUUAAAUAUAUAUAUAUAUAUAUAUAUAUAUAUAUAUAUAUAUAUAUAUAUAUAUAUAGUCUUUUAUGGUAUAAAUUGUCAUGCGGCCUAUGGACAGUAGCCUAAUUGUACACCUAAAGGAGGUAUGGUAUCUGUUUUUUUUUUUUUUUUUUUUUUUUUCAGAUUUGUCUCUUUGUAUAUAAGAAAAAUAUGAAAAUCCACAUCAUUGAGUAAUUAAGAGGUAGGCCUCUAUCCUCUAGAACUGAAGGUGUAUCACAUGCAUAGAAAUGGCUGAGUACAAAAAAGUAUGCGUAAAAUCAAAAAAGUAAAUAACUAAAUUAUGUCAUUUAAUAUAUGCAAUUCCCCAAUGUUUGUUUUCUUCAAGACACUUGAAUGAAUAUAAUUUCUAUAUGGUGCAACCUUUUUAAAUAUGUUAUUUAAAUGUGUUUUUGUCAAAGGAUUUAGUGCUAUUUAUUACAUUUAAUACAAAUAUUAAAUACUAGAUAGCCUACAUUCGCGUGUGUUAUCAGAUACGAACGCCCACCUUCAGGCUUCAUAUUGUAAGCUUGAUCUCCACUAUAGAUUCAACUUGAUGGCGUUUGUUCAUACGCCUAUCUCCGAUCCAAAAAUAAAACCUAAAUUAAAACGUG